GCAUUGGUGGUUCAAUGGCAGAAUUCUCACCUUCCAUGUGAGAGACCUGGAUUCUAUUCCCAGCCAAUGUC
rnacentral:tRNA from 1 species